CAAAACAAAAUAACCCUGGUCAAGGAUGACUUAGACGAUCAUGUUGAUGGUACAAGCUCAUGUCUCCAGGUCUUGAAUUUUGACGCAAAAAAAAACCUGUUCUUAUUCAGCGUUUGCAAAAAAAAGGCUUGCAGUUCUAAACAAGUGCGCCAAGGGUGCCUGCUCCUGCAUGUCCCUGCUGCUAUCUGUUUUCGCUAUAGUGAUUCUUGCGGUCAUUGUCUGGCUUCAACUAAGUAGCUGUAAACUUUUCCCAGCUCACAUCAGUUUCAGAUGUAGACUUUCAAAUAUAAUGUGAUUGCUUUUGUCUUGCCUCCAUUUUCAAGAGAAUUGGCAAACAUUUAUGUGUUCCUCACGAGAAUUGGAGAAUAUGUGAUCCACAUAUGCUCUUUGCCAGGUCGAAAUGGGAAGUUCAGAAUCUUUAUGAAUUGGUUUA